UCGGACGUGGUGUACGCAACACAGCGGGGCGCUCUGUGGAGAAAGAAUUGACAAUGUCACCCGCAGUUCGGGGUUCGAGUCCCCGCGUCCGAA